rnacentral:lncRNA from 1 species
ACCGUCGGGUACCAUUACUAGAUGGUCACUUUGAUUGGUAUAAAAAUUUAUUCUUGUACUACCGGCUUAGGUUCAGACCUAUGAGAUCACACACAUUAGAGUUCAUGAUCCGAUCGGAUGGUUGAUCAAUGAUUAAGAAUCGUUCUAGGGUUAAACGAUCAAUACGAUUGACAUUUAACCUAGUGCAAGUGUUGCAGGAGGAUCGAUUAGCAAUUCGAUUGCUAAUUGACUUAAUUUGAUUAAGCCAAUGGGCUGAGAUUAAGUCUAAUUGAAUAUGAUUUAAUUAGAUUUAGUUUGGGCUUGAUUGGAUCAAGUCCAAU